rnacentral:rRNA from 1 species
GACGAACGCUGGCGGCGUGCCUAACACAUGCAAGUCAAGGAGAAUUCCCGACUUGUCGGGAUAGUAAACUGGCGAACGGGUGAGUAACACGUAGGUAAUCUACCCUCGGGGAUCGGGGAUAACCCUCGCGAAAGUGGGGAUAAUACCGAAUAAAGUCUCGGUAUAAUUUGUCGAGAUGAAAGAUGGGGAUCUUCGGACCUAUUACCUGAGGAUGAGCCUGCGCCUGAUUAGCUAGUUGUAGGGUAAAUGCUACCAAGGCAACGAUCAGUAGCUGGUCUGAGAGGAUGAUCAGCCACAUUGGGACUGAGAUACGGCCCAGACUCCUACGGGAGGCAGCAGUGAGGAAUUUUGCGCAAUGGGCGAAAGCCUGACGCAGCAACGCCGCGUGACUGAUUAAGCUCUGAGGAGUGUAAAAGUCUGUCGUAGAGGAAGAAACUAUCCGAUAAGAUAAUUGUCGGAUACUGACGGUACUCUAUGAGAAAGCUCCGGCUAACC